rnacentral:rRNA from 1 species
CCUACGGGUGGCAGCAGUGAGGAAUAUUGGUCAAUGGACGAGAGUCUGAACCAGCCAAGUAGCGUGAUGGAUGACUGCCCUAUGGGUUGUAAACUUCUUUUAUAGGGGAAUAAAAUGGUCCACGUGUGGGAUGUUGUAUGUACCAUAUGAAUAAGGAUCGGCUAACUCCGUGCCAGCAGCCGCGGUAAUACGGAGGAACCGAGCGUUAUCCGGAUUUAUUGGGGUUAAAGGGAGCGUAGGUGGCUGGUUAAGUCAGUGGGGAAAGUUUGCGGCUCAACCGUAAAAUUGCAGUUGAAACUGGCAGUCUUGUGUACAGUAGAGGUGGGCGGAUUUCGUGUUGUCGCGGUGA